rnacentral:lncRNA from 1 species
AAACCCGAGAGUUUAAAAAAUAGUUUUUUGAACUGGGUACCGAUACGCGGGCUCGGGUACCGGUACAAGCCGUGCGGAAUUGUUUUUAAAUACCGAUAUUAGUUUUUAUUUUUCCACUUAUACUUCAUCAAAACUCCUCCCUUCUCUCUCUAAAAAUCACCUAGCAUCAUUCUCAUCCAGAUCUACAAGUUUUCAGCAGA